UGGAGACCCUCGGCCAACAUCAAAUUGAGCCUUUAACCCACCGUGGGGCCCAGCAUAUUGACUUGUGCCAUCAUCAUAGGUAACAAAUGGGUUAGAAACCCUAUUAGUCAUAUUUGUAUAACGCGGUGCAGUAGAAUGCCAUUGGUUUCCACCAUGAAUAAAAUAUUGCGGCACUAGUGAGGGAGAGCCAACAAAUGGACCAGGGACUGGCAUCGGAACAAAGAAGUCACUAGCCACGCCCUGACCAGACCGGGCAUCCCGAUUGUAACCCCUAUCCACAGGCGUUAGACUAUUAUAGUCCCGAUCAUAUCUGUAAUAGCAUCUCUGAGCCACAUGUCCAAAUUAUUUGCAAAUUUGACACAGAAUGCAGGAUCGGAACCCUCUCCCACGACCUCUAGAGGGUGGGCGACUACCACGCACUGAGUCAACCAAUGACGGCGAUGGACCAGAUUUCAGUAGAUUGGCAUGAAGAGACACGUCUUGUACCGCACGCAUCUGAUGGUUUUCAUACUUAAUCAACACAUCGACGAGGCGUUAGAGUGGCAGAGGCUCUGACGAGAACGAUGCUAAGGUGAGAACGGCAUCGAACUCCGGAGGUAAGCCUGCAAGAAUGAUUUCUACUUUCUCUGCCUCUGAGGUCCAAGAUCCAGAGGCCUCAAUCAACGCACUAGUAUUUUUUUACAUUUUCUAUGUAAUCCUUGAUUGAAAGGUUACCUUUCUUAAGAGAAUGGAGUUCAUGACGGAGACAGGAGAGCUUCGCACCAGUGAGAGCAGCAAAAAGGCACGUGGCAGUUGUCCACACAUCACAUGCCAAGUGAGCCUCUGUAGAAGAAGACAAAAAUGGGGGAGAAAUGGUUGAAAGAAGCCAGGAAGCUAACAACCUAUAUUGUUGAAGGAAUGCCGAGGCAUCUAGAUUUGGAACAAGAGAGCCUUCCAAAGACGUCAGAAACCGCGGUGGAACAGAUUAAAUUAGCCGAGCACUGUUGAAUGUCGAAUAGCCAGGCUCGACAAAAGCAGAACCAGCAAAAGCUGUGGUAGUCAUGGAGGAGAACAUGAAUUAAGGCCUCAGCACCUUAGGCAACUGAUACCAUGUUGAAAUCUUAGGUAAUCUGAAUCUAAAAUCGGAACAAAUAAAAGUAGAAAGAAUAGUAUUAAAAAUUGUCCUGUAUUAUUUCUCUUAUCUUUGAAUACUACAACUAAGGUAUUUAUAGAGUAUUCUGUUUUGGUAA